GACUUUGAGUGGUGGAUCACUCGGCUCAUGUGUUGUUGAAGAAUGCAGCUAGCUGCAAGAACUAAUGUAAAUUACAGGACACAUUGAUCUUCGACACUUCAAACGCACUUUGCAGCCCUGGGUUACUCACGGGGCUACACCUGUCUGAGGGUCG